GGAGUGAUCAAUUUAAUAUGUAGCCAAUCGGCAAAUGGAUGGAAGUGUCCAUCACCCAACCAAAGUGGGUAUUUAAGGUCCCGCAUCAGGGCCAAAAGACCAGUCUGCACCCACAUCCAGCAGGCCACUGAAGCCAAGCCAAUGUCGUAGCCAUAGAGGGCUUCCAGCUACACAACUGGAGUUGAAGUUGAUGUACAUGAUCUGCAUGUAGCUGUACAGGCUGUUCUUUAACUUUAUCCAGGUUAGCUCUUGAUUCGUUGUGUUCUUGAUCCACAAUUAAAUCCCAGAUAUUGAGUACUGUAUUUUUGGAAACAAUGUUUACUCAAUUCCAAUUGAUAAGUCAAGACAGUGUAUUUAUUUGAUACUGUUUUCCAAGCUGUGCUGUAGCUAAUGCACUAUGUUAUUCUGAUCUUAUGGCACAGUCAAUGUUUUGCUACUGGUAGGCUGUUCCACAGACGGACUACUUCCGUUAUCGUAAACAGAGGCCCCCAUAUACUCCACACACAGCGCCCGUUAUUACUGCACAUUCCUAUGGGCACACACAACUUCCAGCGAGUUCGUGUCCGUGGUACACACUUCAACGCUAAAACAAAUCGGGCUAAAUAUGAUCGGAACACUUCGGGUAAAGAUUUGCGCGUUCUGAUUGGCCGGGUGGCUUAGAAACGUCAUCAUCGGAAAAGAGUAUGCUUCCAGCUUGCUUCGGGUCCAUUCGCGUACAAAAUCGACCACGGGUUGCAACUUUUGCGAUCAAAAACAUUUUUUCUCGUUCAUAAAGCGAUCCAUAAUCAACGUGAAUCACCAAGCGACAAGCUUUUCUGUGGUCCUCGUCUUGUGACAGUGUUCCAGUAUGGAUACCACCAGUGAGCCUGAAGAUGAAAAAGUCACCAAACAAGGAGGGUUGUGGACAACGGCAGAAAGAGUUGAGGAGGAGACAAAGAAACUGCAUCACCAGAAUGCAUCAGACGAAGACAUUCGAAGGGCAAUGUAUAGCCAACUGAAUUUUCACCAAAAAAUACUUGCCUCCAAAACCCCACGUCGGGAAUGUCUCCAACUAGGAACGACAGACGGCGGAAAAAGAAGAGACUUUACAGGAAACGAAAUGAAAAACCACCUCAUUGAAGUCCUUCAACAUAAUAAUCUCAUCCUAACAUCCGACCCAGAGGAACUGUCGGCACAAAACGAGGCCAGUGCUACCAGGACGUCGCAGAUUGAGUACUUCCCCGAAGAAGAGAGAGAUACAUCAUUCUUGUCCCAAAAAAAUAAACUGAUCAAAAAAAUAGAAGCAGAGCGAGUAAAGAGAGCUGUAAUGAAUUCCAAGAAGUAUCUUGACCGCCUUCUCCAUGAGCCAAAGCUAUUAGUAGGAAAGACUGUGGAGCACAAACUGUGUGAGACGGCAGCCGAUACACCUCAGUGGUACACUGGCACAAUAUCUGCAAUAACAAAAACACCAAAAGACCCAGCCAAGACUGUAUUUUCCAUCAAAUACAGAAACGAAGAUGUGGAGUAGGAGUUCCCAUUACUGAUGGACCUGAAAAGAAAUGAACUCAUUCUGUUGGAAGCACUUUAAAAUUGUCACGGUACAUGUUUAUGCUCUCUGUCUGUGUGUGGAUGCGCUUCCUGUCCAUUUGUUUGCCGCCCUCGAUCCACACCUCUCCAAAAUAGUAUUGGCUUGGUAAUUAACAUAAUUAACAUAUAUAUAGUGAUUGAUUAUGUCAAUUAAAUUAUUGAUGCAAGUCCCAAUCUUGGCAAUUGACAGAUUUGAUUAAAUCAGUAUCUCUUAUCAAUCUAUUUUUCAACAAUAAUUGGGGAAAAAUAAGGUUCCCUUAACAAUCAACAUUUUUGCAUAAAUUAUGCAAAUUAGGGGAUUUCAAUAUAAACUAAUUAUCUGUAGUUAAGCAGGUUUGAUUAUUACAAUGUCUUGCAUCAUUUAAUUAAAGUAUUUGUCAAGAUAAAUUGGAGAAAAAUGAGUUUUCCCUUGAAAAUUGACCGUUUUUGCAUAAAUUAUUAAUUUAUUAUGCAAAUGAGGUAAUUAAAAUAUAAAUUAAUUAUCUGUCCUUGUACAGAUAUUAAUAACUGUUGUUUGUACCAACUUUGGGCCAUCCAGGAUAGAGUUGAGCAAAGAUAUAUAAUCAAAAGUAUUGUCGGUGCCAAAUUAGAAAUAAAGAAAAACAAAGGAUAACCUUUGACCUGGCGAUGAAUUUUUACCCUGUUUUCAAUUAUCAAAACCGACUGUAGCUUCGCAAUGCAAAAUCCGAUUUGAAAAAAAUAAACAGAUUUCUUCUAGUCUAUAACCACUCUUUCAAUUGACACUGAUUUCAAAUCGAUGUGAGCUUUAAAAAAAGGGUUGAAACUGCCUACUACUGGUACUUUAAACACCUUGAAUUGAGGACAAGGACAAAUCUCUGUCUAGCCAAAACACUGUUAUGUAACCUGUCACAUUCUAUU
rnacentral:lncRNA from 1 species